CCCUGGAAAAAAAAUUAUCUUUCACCCCAACAAGGAAGAAAGGAAGGAAGGAAGGAAGGAAGAAGAAGAAUGGUUGAGAUGAUGCAGAAUGUCCCAGACGAUAUAAUGAAGGAGAUCCUCUUAAGGUUACCCGUGAAAUCCAUGCUUCGAUUCAAAAAUAUGUGGAUUGAUGAUUUCGCUGGAUGAUUGAUCUUCUUGGAAUUAUCUGGAACUUCUUUGAUAGAGAGUACAUGAUCGUGUGGGGAUUUGUAGAGAAAAACAAACAAUUAGAAGGCCUUCUGGUGCAUGUAAAGCUAUCACAGGAGCAACAAGUGGUGGUAGUAGUGGUUCUGUUGGGUCAGCAAAUGCUGUUGUGUACUAGCAGCAUAAACCUUGAUGGAGAUGUGGGUGAUAAAGGAAUAUGGUUUCAAGGAGUCUUGGACUAAACAGAUAAUCGUUUUGAAUUCGGAUGCUUAUCUCUAUAAACCAGUAGAAUCCUGGGAUGAUGAAAUUCUGUUCCAGCACAGAGAAAAGAAUUUAGUUUUGUACAACAUCAAGAGUAAGACAGAAAGGGAUCCUGGAAUUCAAGGACUUCCAGUUCGUUGCAAAGCAUUUACUCACACCAAGAGCCUCGUUAUGCUCAAGGGUUUGCGAACGAGUGUGCAGGGUGACAGGCGGAAGGGAAAAGAAGAAGAAGAAGAACAGUAACAAAGAAAAGGGGUAAAAAUUGGAACCCCUCUCUUUAAUCCUAUAUCCCUCUUAA